CUUCUAUGCUGCUAUUAAGAAAUGUUAUUCUAGCGCCAUCUACUGAAAUAUAGAUAUAGAGUCCAGACAUGAACUGAACUACUAUUAGUUCUAAUAUGAGAAACACAGAUUUGAAUAACAACAUUCUCAUAUUGUAAGUAAAAUCUGAUUAAUAAUGUUAUGGCUUGCUGCUACUGCUCUUAAAAUAAAUACAUGCUUGUACUUUAUAACAGUGUUAAUUUCAUACAAGUCUAUUAUAAAGAGAGAACAGGUUAAGAACCCAUUGUACAGCGCUGCGGAAUUUGUUGGUACAUUUCAGAAUGCUUGGUAGUAUAGGGAGAGGUAUUAGCAGUAGAAAGAGGGAAGUGCUCAUUUGGCAUGUGCAUGGGAAAAAAAUUUUGGUUCAGUUCGGCAUUCCAAAAUUCGGGACUUCGGCAAUUCGGCACUUCAACACUUCGGAACUUCAGCAACUUCGGCACUUCGACACUUAGGAACUUUGGCACUUUGGCAUUUCAGUAACUUCGACACUUCGGAACUUCGGAAUUUCGGAACUUCUCCUGCAACCGCUUGGUAGAUAACUCCCUAAUUCCCACGGUAUUAGGGAGCUACUUACCAAAAGGCUGAAAGACCUAAAUUGGUCUUUCAGACAAAUUUACUAAUACUAAGUAAAGAUUACUUAGUAUUAGUAAAUUAUGCCCCUACUCGCUAUACCGCGAGAAGGGGCAUAUCUAGUAAACAGUAAGCAGCCUGUGGCUGCUCACUGUUAAAAAAAAUUAAAUUAAAAAAA